rnacentral:rRNA from 1 species
GUUAUAWGGUCAAGCGAAUAAGCGCACAUGGUGGAUGCCUUGGCGGUCAGAGGCGAUGAAGGACGUGGUAGCCUGCGAMAAGUGUCGGGGAGCUGGCAACAAGCUUUGAUCCGGCAAUAUCCGAAUGGGGGAACCCACUGUUUAGGCAGUAUCUUUGAGUAAAUUCAUAGCUCAAGGAGGCGAACCUGGUGAACUGAAAUAUCUAAGUAACCAGAGGAAAAGAAAUCAACAGAGAUUCCCUGAGUAGUGACGAGCGAACGGGGAUUAGCCCUUAAGCUAGUAUGGUUUUAGGAAAGCAAUCUGGGAAGGUUGGCCAUAGAAGGUGAUAGCCCUGUAUCCGAAAGGGCCGUACUAGUGAAGAUGAGUAGGACGGGGCACGUGAAACCUUGUCUGAAUAUGGGGGGUCCAUCCUCCAAGGCUAAAUACUCCUGACCGACCGAUAGUGAACUAGUACCGUGAGGGAAAGGCGAAAAGAACCCCGGAGAGGGGAGUGAAAUAGAACCUGAAACCAUGUGCGUACAAGCAGUAGGAGCCCUUAUGGGUGACUGCGUACCUUUUGUAUAAUGGGUCAGCGACUUACUGUUCGUGGCGAGCUUAACCGUAUAGGGGAGGCGAAGGGAAACCGAGUCUGAUAAGGGCGCAUAGUCGCGGGCAGUAGACCCGAAACCGGGUGAUCUAGUCAUGUCCAGGGUGAAGGUGCCGUAACAGGUACUGGAGGCCCGAACCCACUCCCGUUGCAAAGGUAGGGGAUGAGGCGUGAUUAGGAGUGAAAAGCUAAUCGAACCCGGAGAUAGCUGGUUCUCCUCGAAAGCUAUUUAGGUAGCGCCUCAUAUGUAUCCUCUCGGGGGUAGAGCACUGUUAUGGCUAGGGGGUCAUCGCGACUUGCCAAACCAUUGCAAACUCCGAAUACCGAGAAGGACUGUAUGGGAGACACACGGCGGGUGCUAACGUCCGUCGUGAAAAGGGAAACAACCCAGACCCACAGCUAAGGUCCCAAAUUCAUAGCUAAGUGGAAAACGAUGUGGAAAGGCAUAGACAGCCAGGAGGUUGGCUUAGAAGCAGCCAUCCUUUAAAGAAAGCGUAAUAGCUCACUGGUCGAGUCGGUCUGCGCGGAAGAUUUAACGGGGCUAAGCUAUGAACCGAAGCUUGGGGUGCAUAUUUUUAUAUGCGCGGUAGAGGAGCGUUCCGUAAGCCUGUGAAGGUGAGUUGAGAAGCUUGCUGGAGGUAUCGGAAGUGCGAAUGCUGACAUGAGUAACGAUAAUAUGGGUGAAAAACCCAUACGCCGAAAGCCUAAGGUUUCCUUGCGCAACGUUAAUCGGCGCAGGGUUAGUCGGCCCCUAAGGCGAGGGCGAAAGCCGUAGUCGAUGGGAAGCAGGUUAAUAUUCCUGCACCUCGCGUGAGUGCGAUGGAGGGACGGAGAAGGCUAGGUGUACCGGGCGUUGGUUGUCCCGGGGAAAGGAGGUAGGCUGGGUCCUUAGGAAAAUCCGGGGGUCCUUUUAAAGCCGAGCACCGAGACGAGUCUUUUUUAGAUGAAGUCACUGAUGCCACGCUUCCAGGAAAAGCUUCUAAGCUUCAGCUCACGAAGACCGUACCGUAAACCGACACAGGUA